CCUACGGGAGGCAGCAGUGGGGAAUAUUGCACAAUGGGGGAAACCCUGAUGCAGCGACGCCGCGUGAGUGAAGAAGUAUUUCGGUAUGUAAAGCUCUAUCAGCAGGGAAGAAGAAAGACGGUACCUGACUAAGCAGCCCCGGCUAACUACGUGCCAGCAGCCGCGGUACUACGUAGGGGGCAAGCGUUAUCCGGAUUUACUGGGUGUAAAGGGAGCGUAGACGGCUGUGCAAGUCUGAAGUGAAAGCCCAGGGCUCAACCCUGGGACUGCUUUGGAAACUGUUGAGCUAGAGUGCUGGAGAGGUAAGUGGAAUUCCUAGUGUAGCGGUGAAAUGCGUAGAUAUUAGGAGGAACACCAGUGGCGAAGGCGGCUUACUGGACAGUAACUGACGUUGAGGCUCGAAAGCGUGGGGAGCAAACAGGAUUAGAUACCCGAGUAGUC
rnacentral:rRNA from 1 species